GCCAGAAAUGUAGCUAGCUCACGUAGCUGCUAGCUGUUAGCGACGCUGCAGACACCGUGCGCGUGUCCUCUGAAAGGAACACGCGCAUGCCUAUAAAACAUAAAUGUUCUGAACAACGCAGCAACGUCUUGCGGCGCUUCGCGCGGACUGAUACAGUGUUUAGAGGCGCAAUAACAUGUUAGCAGUGGGAGUUCUGAAUGUAGAAAGGCACGGUCCAAAACACCUACAAUAGGCGGAGGUCAGUGAUGACAUCAACGCUUCCCAAUUCCUAACCACAUUACCAUGGCAACAGGACGAAAAGGCUCCACCUCCAAGGCGGGUGGGGUGCGUUUUCCAGAUGACGACGAGCCCCCCGGCUCUCCAACACGGAGAGACGACCAGUCAAACCUCUCCACUCUCAUCGCUAUCCUAGAGAAGGAUGGCAGCUACUUGG